rnacentral:misc_RNA from 1 species
GAUGAAGAACGCAGCGAAAUGCGAUAAGUAAUGUGAAUUGCAGAAUUCAGUGAAUCAUCGAAUCUUUGAACGCACCUUGCGCUCUUUGGUAUUCCGAAGAGCAUGCCUGUUUGAGUGUCAUGAAAAUAUCAACCUUGACUUGGGUUUUGUGCUCUAGUCUCGGCUUGGAAUUGGGUGCUUGCCGCUUUUACGAGCGGCUCACCUUAAAUGUAUUAGCUGGAUCUGUCUUUGAGACUUGGUUUGACUUGGCGUAAUAAGUAUUUCGCUAAGGACAUUCUUCGGAGUGGCCUCGUUUCUAGGACGCUUGUCCGCUUUCCAAUACAAGUUCCACCUCGUGGACAUGACUUUUUAUUAUCUGGCCUCAAAUCAGGUAGGACUACCCGCUGAACUUAAGCAUAUCAAUAAGCGGA